UCACUUACAGAUGGACCCGCGGCGCAUUAGCUAGUUGGUGGGGUAAUGGCUCACCAAGGCGACGAUGCGUAGCCGACCUGAGAGGGUGAUCGGCCACACUGGGACUGAGACACGGCCCAGACUCCUACGGGAGGCAGCAGUAGGGAAUCUUCCGCAAUGGACGAAAGUCUGACGGAGCAACGCCGCGUGAGUGAUGAAGGUUUUCGGAUCGUAAAGCUCUGUUGUUAGGGAAGAACAAGCGCGAGAGUUUACUGCUCGCACCUUGACGGCACCUAACCAGAAAGCCACGGCUAACUACCUGUCAUCCGCCGCGGUAAUACGCAGGUGGUAAGCGUUGCCCGGAAUUACUGGUUGUACCGGGCUCCCAUGCGGUUCUUUUAUUCCGAUGUGAAUGUCUCCCCGCUCAACCCCGCGCGUGUUCUUCGGACUUCUGCAC
rnacentral:rRNA from 1 species